GGAAGCGAAAUAAGAGCGUAUGGGGGAUGCCUUGGCUCCCGGAGGCGACGAAGGACGUGGUAAGCUGCGAAAAGCUGCGGGGAGGUGCAAACGACCCUUGAUCCGCAGAUGUCCGAAUGGGGCAACCCAUCCCGAUGAAGUCGGGAAGACAAUAGUCGCGAACCCUCUGAACUGAAACAUCUAAGUAGGAGGAGGAAAAGAAAACAAUAGUGAUUCCGUAAGUAGUGGCGAGCGAACGCGGAAGAGGCCAAACCAUACGGCGUGCCGUAUGGGGUUGUAGGACUGCGCUGUGGAAGAUAGUUGGUUAAUAGAACGGCAUGGAAAGGCCGGCCGCAGAAGGUGAGAGCCCUGUAGAUGAAAGUCAACUAUUACCUAGCAGUAUCCUGAGUAGGGCGGAGCCGGUGAAACUCUGUCUGAACCUGCCAGCACCAUCUGGUAAGCCUAAAUACUACCGGGAGACCGAUAGCGAACCAGUACCGUAAGGGAAAGGUGAAAAGAACCCUAAGCAAGGGAGUGAAAAGACUCUGAAACCAUACGCUUACAAGCGGUCGGAGUUCCGAUUUAUCGGGAUGACGGCGUGCCUUUUGCAUAAUGAGCCUACGAGUUAUACCUCACUGGCAGCCUAAGCACUUCAGGUGCGGAAGCGCAGCGAAAGCGAGUCUUAACAGGGCGCUAGUCAGUGGGGAUAGACGCGAAACCGAGUGAUCUAUCCAUGGGCAGGUUGAAGGUCCGAUAAUCUCGGACUGGAGGACCGAACUGGUAAACGUUGAAAAGUUUUCGGAUGACCUGUGGAUAGGGGUGAAAGGCCAAUCAAACUCGGAGAUAGCUCGUACUCCCCGAAAUGCAUUUAGGUGCAGCGUUGUGUAAUGUGUAUUGGAGGUAAAGCUACUGAGAAGGCUAGGGGGCUUCACCGCCUACCAACCCUUAACAAACUCUGAAUGCCAAUACAUAGUAACAGCAGUGAGCCCUGGGGUGCGAAGGUCACAGGGCGAGAGGGGAACAACCCAGACCAACAGUUAAGGUCCCUAAGAGCCAGCUAAGUUGCAUAAACGAGGUGGGAAUGCAGUGACAGCCAGGAUGUUUGCUUGGAAGCAGCAAUUCAUUCAAAGAGUGCGUAACAGCUCACUGGUCGAGCGUUCCUGCGCGGAAAAUAAACGGGCAUCAAGCUGGUCACCGAAACUUUGGAUUCGAAAGAGUGGUAGGGGAGCAUUCUGCGUGGCUGAAGCGGUAUUGUGAAGUACCGUGGACAUAGCAGAAAAGCAAAUGUAGGCAUAAGUAACGAUAAAUGGCGUGGAAAACGUCAUCGCCGUAAGACCAAGGGUUCCUGAUCUACGUUCAUCGGAUCAGGGUUAGCCGGGUCCUAAGGAUAAGCCGAGAGGCGAAGCCGAUGGAAAAUGGGUAAAUAUUCCCAUGCCGGCUUAUACUGCAAGAAGGGGACGAAGACUGGUAGGUGUCGCCUCGUGACGGAAUACGAGGUUAAAGCGCAAGCGAUAGUACACAGAGGCUUUCGGGCUGAUGUGAUAGUGCACCGAACAGGCUUCCGGGAAAAGCCUUUGAAGCAUCAGGUAUAAGCCGCCCGUACCGUAAACCGACACAGGUGGUCGAGGAGAGUAUCCUAAGGCGCUCGAGUGAUUCACGGCUAAGGAACUAGGCAAAAUGACCCUGUAACUUCGGGAGAAGGGGUUCCCACGCAAGUGGGACGCAGUGAAAAGGCCCAGGCGACUGUUUAACAAAAACACAUGGCUAUGCAAAAUCGAAAGAUGCAGUAUAUGGCCUGACACCUGCCCGGUGCCGGAAGGUUAAGAGGGGAUGUCAUCGCAAGAGAAGCAUUGAAUCGAAGCCCCGGUAAACGGCGGCCGUAACUAUAACGGUCCUAAGGUAGCGAAAUUCCUUGUCGGGUCAGUUCCGACCUGCACG
rnacentral:rRNA from 1 species